rnacentral:rRNA from 1 species
UGCCUGAUGGAGGGGGAUAACUACUGGAAACGGUAGCUAAUACCGCAUAACGUCGCAAGACCAAAGAGGGGGACCUUCGGGCCUCUUGCCAUCGGAUGUGCCCAGAUGGGAUUAGCUUGUUGGUGGGGUAACGGCUCACCUAGGCGACGAUCCCUAGCUGGUCUGAGAGGAUGACCAGCCACACUGGAACUGAGACACGGUCCAGACUCCUACGGGAGGCAGCAGUGGGGAAUAUUGCACAAUGGGCGCAAGCCUGAUGCAGCCAUGCCGCGUGUAUGAAGAAGGCCUUCGGGUUGUAAAGUACUUUCAGCGGGGAGGAAGGGAGUAAAGUUAAUACCUUUGCUCAUUGACGUUACCCGCAGAAGAAGCACCGGCUAACUCCGUGCCAGCAGCCGCGGUAAUACGGAGGGUGCAAGCGUUAAUCGGAAUUACUGGGCGUAAAGCGCACGCAGGCGGUUUGUUAAGUCAGAUGUGAAAUCCC